CGUUUAUGCUCGUUGAUGCUCUGACGUUUACUCUCAAAUCUUACGUGGUUUAGUGUAGCGGUUUAUUUAGUACAGUUCGUUUUUCUUUUAAGAAGUGAGGCGUUUAUUGUCGUUAUUCGCUUUAGCAAUCCAAGCAAGUACCAGUAGUAUGGAACUCAUCAUGUUGAACCAGGCCGUGUAGAUUUGGAUCUCGGGCUUGAAAGUCCUACGCUCUACGAGUCUCUUCUGCUGCCGAACUAGGCGGUGGCUUUAGUACUCCUGGUACGAGCUGCUUUAAUCAAAAAAGAAAAAUCUUCCAUACAUGUGAGUGGAACCCGAAGGAUUUUCAACUUGGGCUAAUACAACUAAAGGGUUUUUAAGGAGCCACCAUUGUUGUAAUCGGAAAACGGCCUUUAAAAAAACUUUUCGCCCAUCGAAGAAGAAAAAAGGAAUACGCAUCCUGCACGGCAGAAAAAAAAGAUAAGACGGAAUGUUUCAAAUUCUCCCGAAGGCGGACAGGCAUUCCGGUGCGGGACAGGUUUAUGCUCCAGUGUCAACAAUGUUCAACGCUUUUAAGGAUUCGAGCCAUUUGAAUGCGCCCCGGAUGGACGACAUCUUUGUGACGCUAUUAAAUAGCCAGUUUUAUAAUAGGGAUAAAAUAAUAAAUAAACGACUAAGGAAGGGAAAAUGGAAAAAGAAUGGCGUAAAACCUCAGUUUGACGGGUGGUUUGAAGGGUUCUUUUCUCUUAUUCUUCUGGUUUGCGUUUUACGAACGUGUACUCUUCCUCAUAUGCCAUACCAAUCAUAAAAAUCAACUACUCAACUAAAGAUAUAACCGUAAAUGUAAACUGAUUUCCAUCAAAUUCUACGCUAAAAAAUAAUUAAAAAUACUUCUACUUGCCUGAACAAUUAUUUUUUUAUUACAAAAUUGCACUUAUCUAUUUACAUACCUACUAUGUUUGAAAACAUUCAUGUUUUUUAAUAAAUGAAUGCUUACUCUUAUGUAACUGUUACGCCAAGUUAAUAAUAACAAAUAAGCAAAAGUUUAUUGAGUGGAGAACCUAUCCACGGGUAGCGUUCCAUAAGUGGACAGGUACAAGUUUGAUCGUGAGAUUUCUUCCUACUGUUCGCGGGGUGAUGAACCAUUAAUUUGCUCGAUCUAUGCUCGCAACUAAUAAAAAAGAGGCUUCACUUCAUAGAAAUCACACAGACUCACUGAGAUGGCGAAAUACCGAACAACGCCUGACAGACUCACCAGCGAGGAUAAGCAGACCAAGAUGAUAAGUAAGGAUCAGAUUGAUAAUGGUUUGAUUUAUAGGAAUUUUAUGUUUCAGUUGUAUAGAUGAUUCGCUAUUAAAAGAUAUAAUUUUGUGUUGA